GCCGCGGUGGCGAAAUGGUAGACGCGCACGCUUCAGGAGCGUGUCCUUCAACAAGGAUGAGAGUUCAAGUCUCUCCCGCGGCA
rnacentral:tRNA from 1 species